rnacentral:tmRNA from 1 species
CCCGUUGCAAUCCGUCGCCACAAAGAUUAUACUGAGUCUCGUGAGGCUUCCUCACUAUGGUGAUAAACGCAUUGCAGGAGUAACUGAACUGGACCCGGGGGCGGUACCCGGCACCUCCACCAAAAGACAUAAGGGGGUGAGAUAGGAUCGACAGGCUGUGAAAAACUUUGCUUUUACCCGAAUCUGGUUCAUUCGAAAAUCAGAACCAACUCACAAGUGCCAACGACAAUGUUGCACUCGCUGCUUAACAUCUAAGUAAGCGCGGCUCGGGAGGUGCCGGGCAACAGAAACCUCCCACC